CGCGGGGCUCCCGGCCGAGCCGCUCGCCGGCACGGCGGCGUCCGUGGGAAGGAAGCAGGCCUGGAGCCACAGGCCGAACCUCCACUCAGCCCCCGUCUGCCUGCCUGCCAUCCUCACCGGCCCAGGAGAGUGAGGGCCCAGAGAGAACGAUAGCGUGUGUGUGUGUGUGUGUGUGUGUGUGUGUGUGUGUGUGUGUGUGUGUGUGUGUGUGUGUGUGUGUGUUUGGGGGGGGGUGUAUAGUUGUGUGUAUGGCUUGGACUGUGCCAGAAAAAAACUCUAGCAAGCUGCUGCACAGCACCAAGGCUGGCGGCCUGUUCAGACCCGUCUCAUUCUCUCUCCUCUGUAUUUCAGUGUCUUUUGAUCGGCAGUCGGAGAGAGAGGUUGGACUCAGCCUGAUGUUUGAUUGCUGUGUACAUUCUGAAAUGGAAAAGCUAAACUGAACGGCUGUCAUCACUACCAGAAUACCACAGUACAGUGUGCUAUCCCAGUGUUUGAGUCUGUAUCCAGAAGAUAGCUGUUCCUUCAUCACACACUCACAAUCACUGUCACCCCGUCACUGUCGAGCACUGGAUCCGUCGAACGUUUGCAUCCUCCCAAAUGUUCCUUUUUAGCUGUCUUUCUCACGAUCCCUGACCUUUGUGUUAACGUAUUCUCUUUAUUGUGUUUUUGUUGUGUAGCAUGACAAGCUUAUUGCGGCCACUGUCAGUAGGCUUACUCACAGCAUAGCUAUUAAAAAAAAAAAAAAAAAAAAAAAAGUUGCUCUAAACUUGCCUCGUCAAAGUAUCCAAACUGUAAUCCGUUCAUCUGCAGACCUCACCUCUGUCUACACAUUGCGAAAACCCAUACAGUUAAAUGUGAGCUGUCAUUAAUGUUUCUUGUGACUUUGACAUCAUGUAUUGAUUUUGAAAUGAUUUAGAAUCCUACCUGAAUGCCUGAAGAAAGGUCAGGAUGAUGGUAACUAUGCCUACAGGCACCACAUGGCAGUUCCUCAUGUUUUUUAGUCCCAUGCCUGUAAAUACAACCUGUUUCUCUUAUUGGUCAUUGGAUCUCAUUUGUAUUUUCAAUACACUACUUGUCUGUGAAUCUUUA